GAAGGUCAUUAAUCGCCAGUUCCUGGCGGUAGCUGCGGUAAGCAAGCCAUCCCGCCACCGUGCCAAG
rnacentral:SRP_RNA from 16 species